AGACGUUCUCAGGGCGGGGUGAAAUUCUCCACCGGCGGUAUUGGCGGAUUUCUCCGCCUCAGCCCGCGAGCGCCUUCCGGAUUUCGGUUCGGAAGGGACAAGCAGAUCCGGUGAGACUCCGGAGCCGACGGUUAGAGUCCGGAUGGAAGAGAACGCAG
rnacentral:ncRNA from 2 species